UACCCAUGAUGUGGGCAGGCAUUAAGCAAAUCCUUGAAUCUCUCCCAACAUUGGUAAAAAGUUUCAUUAUCUUUUUGUGGAAAAUACAUGAUUUGUCUUCUUAAUGCA